rnacentral:tRNA from 1 species
GGGAUGGCUCAGUGGUUAAGAGCACUAGCUGCUCUUCCAGAGGAUCUGGGUUCAAAUCCCAGCACCCA